GAUGAACGCUGGCGGCGUGCCUAAUACAUGCAAGUCGAGCGAACAGACGAGGAGCUUGCUCCUCUGGCGUUAGCGGCGGACGGGUGAGUAACACGUGGAUAACCUACCUAUAAGACUGGGAUAACUUCGGGAAACCGGAGCUAAUACCGGAUAAUAUAUUGAACCGCAUGGUUCAAUAGUGAAAGACGGUUUUGCUGUCACUUAUAGAUGGAUCCGCGCCGCAUUAGCUAGUUGGUAAGGUAACGGCUUACCAAGGCAACGAUGCGUAGCCGACCUGAGAGGGUGAUCGGCCACACUGGAACUGAGACACGGUCCAGACUCCUACGGGAGGCAGCAGUAGGGAAUCUUCCGCAAUGGGCGAAAGCCUGACGGAGCAACGCCGCGUGAGUGGUGAAGGUCUUCGGAUCGUAAAACUCUGUUAUUAGGGAAGAACAAAUGUGUAAGUAACUAUGCACGUCUUGACGGUACCUAAUCAGAAAGCCACGGCUAACUACGUG
rnacentral:rRNA from 1 species